AACGAACGCUGGCGGCAUGCCUAACACAUGCAAGUCGAACGAGAUCUUCGGGUCUAGUGGCGCACGGGUGCGUAACGCGUGGGAAUCUGCCCUUUGGUUCGGAAUAACAGUUGGAAACGACUGCUAAUACCGGAUGAUGACGAAAGUCCAAAGAUUUAUCGCCAGAGGAUGAGCCCGCGUAGGAUUAGCUAGUUGGUGUGGUAAAGGCGCACCAAGGCGACGAUCCUUAGCUGGUCUGAGAGGAUGUUCAGCCACACUGGGACUGAGACACGGCCCAGACUCCUACGGGAGGCAGCAGUGGGGAAUAUUGGACAAUGGGCGAAAGCCUGAUCCAGCAAUGCCGCGUGAGUGAUGAAGGCCUUAGGGUUGUGAAGCUCUUUUACCCGGGAUGAUAAUGACAGUACCGGAAGAAUAAGCUCCGGCUAACUCCGUGCCAGCAGCCGCAGUAA
rnacentral:rRNA from 1 species